rnacentral:rRNA from 1 species
GAGUUUGAACCUGGCUCAGGACGAACGCUGGCGGCAUGCCUAACACAUGCAAGUCGAACGGAAGUAGCAAUACUUUAGUGGCGAACGGGUGAGUAACGCGUGAGCAACCUGCCCUAUACAACGGGAUAACACAGAGAAAUUUGUGCUAAUACGGUAUAAGACCACAGUAUCGCAUGAUACAGGGGUAAAAGAAAUAUUCGGUAUAGGAUGGGCUCGCGACCCAUUAGCUAGUUGGUGAGGUAACGGCCCACCAAGGCAACGAUGGGUAGCCGACCUGAGAGGGUGAUCGGCCACACUGGGACUGAGACACGGCCCAGACUCCUACGGGAGGCAGCAGUGGGGAAUAUUGGGCAAUGGAGGAAACUCUUACCCAGCAAUGCCGCGUGAAUGAAGAAGGUCUUCGGAUUGUAAAGUUCUUUAAUUGGGGACGAAAAAAAUGACGGUACCCAAGGAAUAAGCCCCGGCUAACUACGUGCCAGCAGCCGCGGUAAUACGUAGGGGGCAAGCGUUGUUCGGAAUGACUGGGCGUAAAGGGUGCGUAGGCGGUGUAGCAAGUUAGAAGUGAAAUACCUAGAGCUUAACUCAGGUGCUGCUUCUAAAACUGCUAUACUUGAGUGCAGUAGAGGAAAGUGGAAUUCCUAGUGUAGCGGUGGAAUGCGUAGAUAUUAGGAGGAACAUCAGUGGCGAAGGCGACUUUCUGGACUGUAACUGACGCUGAGGCACGAAAGUGUGG